UACGUAGGCAGCGAGCGUUGUUCGGAAUUACUGGGCGUAAAGAGUGUGUAGGCGGUGCUCUAAGUUCGGUGUGAAAUCUCCCGGCUUAACUGGGGGGGUGCGCCGGAAACUGGAGUGCUCGAACGUGGGAGAGGAAAGCGGAAUUCCUGGUGUAGCGGUGAAAUGCGUAGAUAUCAGGAGGAACACCUGCGGUGUAGACGGCUUUCUGGACCAUUGUUGACGCUGAGACACGAAAGCGUGGGUAGCAAACAGG
rnacentral:rRNA from 1 species